GGUGCAAGCGUUAAUCGGAAUUACUGGGCGUAAAGCGUGCGCAGGCGGUUUUGUAAGACUGUCGUGAAAUCCCCGGGCUCAACCUGGGGAAUGGCGAUGGUGACUGCAAGGCUAGAGUUUGGCAGAGGGGGGUAGAAUUCCACGUGUANCAGUGAAAUGCGUANAUAUGUGGAGGAACACCGAUGGCGAAGGCAGCCCCCUGGGUCAAAACUGACGCUCAUGCACGAAAGCGUGGGGAGCAAACAGGAUUAGAUACCCUGGUAGUCCACGCCCUAAACGAUGUCUACUAGUUGUCGGGUCUUAAUUGACUUGGUAACNCAGCUAACGCGUNAAGUAUACCGCCUGGGGAGUNCGGUCGCAAGAUUAAAACUCAAAGGAAUUGACGGGGACCCGCACAAGCGGUGGAUAUUUUUGAAUUUAAUUCCAUGCAACGC
rnacentral:rRNA from 1 species